rnacentral:rRNA from 1 species
AAAAAAUAGCACCGUAACUUCGGGGGAAGGUGUGCCCGCCGACGUGAUGGAACUUGCUUCCUGAGCGUUGGCGGGUCGCAGUGAAAUGGGGGUUGCGACUGUUUACUAAAAACACAGGACUGUGCGAACUCGUAAGAGGACGUAUACGGUCUGACGCCUGCCCGGUGCUGGAAGGUUAAGGGGAGAGGUUAGCGCAAGCGAAGCUUCGAACCGAAGCCCCAGUAAACGGCGGCCGUAACGAUAACGGUCCUAAGGUAGCAAAUUCCUUGUCGGGUAAGUUCCGACCUGCACGAAGGGCGUAACGACAUCCCUACUGUCUCGGCCAGCGACUCAGCGAAAUUGUAUCGGGGGUGAAGAUACCCUCUACCCGCGGCAAGACGGAAAGACCCCAUGAACCUUUACUGCAACUUGGCAGUGAGGUUCGGAACAGUCUGCGUAGGAUAGGUAGGAGGCUUUGAAGUCGGGAUUCCGGUCUCGAUGGAGCCGUCGUUGAAAUACUACCCUGGCUUUUCUGGACUUCUAACCUAGGCCCCUCAACGGGGUCGGGGACACUGCCUGGUGGGCAGUUUGACUGGGGCGGUCGCCUCCCAAACAGUAACGGAGGCGCGCGAAGGCACCCUCAGGCUGAUUGGAAACCAGCCGGCGAGUGCAAUGGCACAAGGGUGCUUAACUGUGAGAGGGACACCUCGAGCAGGUGCGAAAGCAGGCCAUAGUGAUCCGGUGGUCCCGCAUGGAAGGGCCAUCGCUCAUCGGACAAAAGGUACUCUGGGGAUAACAGGCUGAUCGCGCCUGAGAGUCCAUAUCGGCGGCGCGGUUUGGCACCUCGAUGUCGGCUCAUCGCAUCCUGGGGCUGGAGCAGGUCCCAAGGGUUUGGCUGUUCGCUAAUUAAAGCGGUACACGAGCUGGGUUUAGAACGUCGUGAGACAGUUCGGUCCCUAUCUGCCGUGGGCGCAGGAUACUUGAGAGGAGCUGUUCAUAGUACGAGAGGACCUGAACGGACGCACCUCUAGUGUUCCGGUUGUCAUGCCAAUGGCAUAGCCGGGUAGCUAUGUGCGGAACGGAUAACCGCUGAAAGCAUCUAAGCGGGAAGCCGGCCUCAAGACAAGGUAUCCCGGGGCAUAAGCCCCCUGAAGGCCCCUUGAAGACUACAAGGUGAUAGGCGGGAGGUAGAAGCGCAGCGAUGCGCGGAGCUGACCCGUACUAAUAGGCCGUGCGGCUUGACC